CUAUUUAGUUUAAUUCGACAUUGAAAAUAUUUCAAGGGAGGUAACUCUGAACCACUGACCCGCAAAAGCGAAAAUACAGAACUUCAGUCAAGAAGAUUCACAGCAGCCAGACAUUUUGGAAAAUUCACAGUAACAUAAUUUCUCACAUCAUAAACUGCACAAGACCUGGUUUUGAAUUUGGGGCCUCUUGGUUCUGCUCCGUACCAGUUUGCUGUUUACUAUCAUGGAGUCCGAUCCUACUUCAGGUACAGACUCGGACAGUCUCAUAAUGCCAUUCAGAGCUAAGCAAAGAGCGAAGAAACAAUCUCGAAAGUCUGUUGAGACUACUUGAACAUCAGCAAAGGAAUAACAGAUUACCCCACAGUGACACGUUCUGACCUGAGAGGAAAUAUGUAGUCUAUGGAGAAACCUCUGGUAACAUAGAUUCAGUUCUACUUCGAUGUUGCCGUUAUGUCAAACAGUUGAAAUGAUGAUGAAACUACAGCAUUCGUGUUACAUUUUUUAUUUUAACUUUGCUUUGUAUGUAAUACCGGUAUGUCUAGAUAGCAUUUAGCAAUGCUUGUGUUUUCACCUACUGGUUUAGAAUUAGUCAGCCAAGUUGUUCAAGUGUUCUAAUUAACAUUAGCACCACAUUAUCUCACCAAGAUGACAGUAAAUUUGUAUCUUCAAACUGCAUAACAAUAUGCAAGUGUCAAGCCAACUUCAGAGUAAUUAAAAGUAUCAGUUUCGGUAUCGAACUAAUUGUGACUACUUGGUAUAAACAGUAUUUGCUUACAAUGGGGCUUAACUUACAGUGUUUAACAAUUUGUGUGAAUGCAUAAUGCAUAACUAAGUAAUUUGGUUGCGCUGACAGGGUCGAAAUGUAUUAAAAACGACUAUUGAGACCGACCGUAAUGUGCAAUAGUGGGGUGGUCUUACAAUCAAGGUGGUUGUUAUGUGGGCUUUCACUUUAAUACAUGAUCAUAUUUGUACCUUUUGGGUAUUAUUUGCUACUAUUUUAUUUUUUGACUGAACAUUAACAAGUUUGAUAUUGAUUUACCUCCGCAUUUUGUUCUAAUGGUUGUGCAUUGUACAAAAAUAGGAAAAUGACAGUGUAUAUGGCAUUCUUAAAUUAUGGUUACAGUUUGUCCGAUUGUAAUGACUUCCAAUUAUCAUGGUCACUGUGAUUAUUCAUACAUUUGAAUUUCAUUCAACAAAUAUACAUUUGUGAGACUAUUUGACACUUGAAGGAGUACUUCUAAAUAUAGUUAGUAUUUUUUUUGAUCAUGUAAAUGUUGUUUUUGGAUAUUGUAAAUUUUGUAAAUUUCA
rnacentral:misc_RNA from 1 species